AUGCCGAGCGCGCCGGCGGGCGCGGGCGCGCUGGUCAAGCUCGGGCUGCUGGGAGGCGCGGCGCUCUACCUCGGCAACAAGACCCUCUACAACGUCGAGGGAGGCCACCGGGCCAUCGUCUUCAACCGCCUCGAGGGGAUCAAGGACAAGGUCUACCCCGAGGGGACUCACAUCGUCAUCCCCUGGUUCGAGAGGCCCAUCAUCUACGACGUCCGCGCGCGACCCAACCUCGUCGAGAGCACCUCCGGGAGCCGGGAUCUCCAGAUGGUGAGAAUUGGUCUUCGUGUUCUGACACGACCUAUGCCAGAGAGACUACCAACUAUGUACAGGACCCUGGGGGAGAACUAUAAUGAGAGAGUAUUGCCUUCAAUCAUUCAUGAAACCCUCAAAGCUGUGGUUGCCCAGUACAAUGCCAGUCAGCUAAUCACACAGAGAGAGGCUGUGAGCAGGGAGAUCAGGAAGAUUCUGACAGAGAGGGCGAAGAACUUCAACAUCGCUCUGGAUGAUGUGUCCAUUACCAGUCUCAGCUUUGGUAAAGAGUUCACUCAUGCCAUUGAAGCCAAACAGGUUGCUGCUCAGGAAGCUGAGCGUGCCAAGUUCAUUGUUGAGAAGGCUGAGCAAGACAAGAAAAGUGCAAUUAUCAGGGCACAGGGAGAGGCAAAGAGUGCAGAGCUGAUUGGCAAUGCCAUCGCCAACAACCCUGCUUUCGUGGCGCUCAGGCAGAUUGAAGCCGCCAGGGAGAUCGCCCACACCAUCGCAGCCUCCAACAACAAGGUGUUCCUCGACUCGGGCGACCUGCUGCUUGGGCUCCAGUCGCUCAAGAUGCUCAACAACAACAACAAGAAAUGA
rnacentral:rRNA from 1 species